rnacentral:rRNA from 1 species
GACGAACGCUGGCGGCGUGCUUAACACAUGCAAGUCCAACGGAAAGGCCCCUUCGGGGGUACUCGAGUGGCGAACGGGUGAGUAACACGUGAGUAACCUGCCCUUGACUUCGGGAUAACUUCAGGAAACUGGGGCUAAUACCGGAUAGGAAUCCUUGCUGCAUGGUGGGGGUUGGAAAGCUUCGGCGGUUUUGGAUGGACUCGCGGCUUAUCAGCUUGUUGGUGGGGUAGUGGCUUACCAAGGCUUUGACGGGUAGCCGGCCUGAGAGGGCGACCGGCCACAUUGGGACUGAGAUACGGCCCAGACUCCUACGGGAGGCAGCAGUGGGGAAUAUUGCACAAUGGGCGGAAGCCUGAUGCAGCAACGCCGCGUGCGGGAUGACGGCCUUCGGGUUGUAAACCGCUUUCAGCAGGGGCGAAGCUUGUGGUGACGGUACCUGCAGAAGAAGCACCGGCUAACUACGUG